UACAUUUGAUAUUCUGGGUAAAUAUAUUUUGUUUUAAAUUGAAUCAGAAAUUUUCUAAGAUGAUUUUCGGUAUUCAAAAGACUUUGCAUCUUCAAGACGUUUUUUUUUCGAAGAAAAUGAACUGCGGGGUAGCAUAACAGAUAGGUGUGUAAGAGACGACGUCAUCGUAUAAGUUUCCCCAAAUGGACGUCACAUUAUAUUUUGGUAAGAAAAAUGGAAAGGAAGCUAAAAGGAGCUGAAACCACCCCAGCUUCAUGAAUGUCGCCAGCUUAAAAUGUUUUGUAGUUAUUCAUUCUAUAUCCA